GAUGAACGCUGGCGGCGUGCCUAAUACAUGCAAGUCGAGCGAAUUUUUGGGAGCUUGCUCCCAAAGGUUAGCGGCGGACGGGUGAGUAACACGUGGGUAACCUGCCUGUAAGACUGGGAUAACUUCGGGAAACCGGAGCUAAUACCGGAUAACAUAUGAGACCGCAUGGUCUUAUAUUAGAAGAUGGCUUUUAGCUAUCACUUACAGAUGGACCCGCGGCGCAUUAGCUAGUUGGUGAGGUAAUGGCUCACCAAGGCGACGAUGCGUAGCCGACCUGAGAGGGUGAUCGGCCACACUGGGACUGAGACACGGCCCAGACUCCUACGGGAGGCAG
rnacentral:rRNA from 1 species